GACGAACGCUGGUGGCGUGCUUAACACAUGCAAGUCGAACGGGAUUUAGUAAACAGAAGCCUCGGUGGAAGAUUACUAAUGAGAGUGGCGAACGGGUGAGUAACGCGUGAGCAACCUGCCUAUGACAGUGGGAUAGCCUCGGGAAACCGGGAUUAAUACCGCAUAAAAUCGUAGAAACACAUGUUUUAACGGUCAAAGAUUUAUCGGUCAUAGAUGGGCUCGCGUCUGAUUAGCUAGUUGGUGAGAUAACAGCCCACCAAGGCGACGAUCAGUAGCCGGUCUGAGAGGAUGAACGGCCACAUUGGAACUGAGACACGGUCCAAACUCCUACGGGAGGCAGCAGUGGGGAAUAUUGCACAAUGGGGGAAACACUGAUGCAGCGACGCCGCGUGAACGAAGAAGGUAUUCGUAUCGUAAAGUUCUGUCCUAUGGGAAGAUAAUGACAGUACCAUAGAAGAAAGCUCCGGCUAAAUACGUG
rnacentral:rRNA from 1 species